AACGAACGCUGGCGGCGUGGAUAAGACAUGCAAGUCGAACGAGAAACUUGAAGAGCUUGCUUUGAGAGUUUCUAGUGGCGGACGGGUUAGUAACGCGUGAGCAACCUGCCUUGAAGAGGGGGAUAGUCCUGGGAAACUGGGUUUAAUACCGCAUGUGGCCUUCGGGUCAAAGGUGCCUUAUGGUGCCGCUUCAAGAUGGGCUCGCGUCCUAUCAGCUUGUUGGUGAGGUAAAGGCUCACCAAGGCGAUGACGGGUAGCUGUUCUGAGAGGAAGAUCAGCAACACUGGAACUGAGACACGGUCCAGACACCUACGGGUGGCAGCAGUCGAGAAUCAUUCACAAUGGACGAAAGUCUGAUGGUGCAACGCCGCGUGGAGGAUGAAGGCCCUAGGGUCGUAAACUCCUGUCAUGUGGGAGUAAGGCAUGAUGGUUAAGAGCUGUCAUGUUUGAUAGUACCACAAGAGGAAGGGACGGCUAACUUCGUGCCAGCAGCCGCGGUAAUACGAAGGUCCCGAGCGUUGUUCGGAAUCACUGGGCGUAAAGGGAGCGUAGGCGGCGCGGUAAGUCAGAUGUGAAAUCCCGGGGCUCAACCCUGGAACUGCAUUUGAUACUGCCGUGCUUGAGUAAUGGAGGGGCAACUGGAAUUCUCGGUGUAGCAGUGAAAUGCGUGGAUAUCGAGAGGAAGACCAACGGCGAAGGCAGGUUGCUGGACAUUUACUGACGCUGAGGCUCGAAGGCCGGGGUAGCGAAAGGGAUUAGAUACCCCUGUAGUCCCGGCAGUAAACGAUGUGCGCUUGGUGUGGGCGGGUUCGACCCCGUCCGUGCCGGAGCUAACGCGUUAAGCGCACCGCCUGGGGAGUACGGUCGCAAGACUAAAACUCAAAGAAAUUGACGGGGACCCGCACAAGCGGUGGAGUAUGUGGCUUAAUUCGAUGCAACACGAAGAACCUUACCUGGGCUUGACAUGCAUUGCUAAUUCGGUGAAAGCCGAUGAGUCUUCGGACGCCUUGCACAGGUGCUGCAUGGCCGUCGUCAGCUCGUGUCGUGAGAUGUUCGGUUAAGUCCGGCAACGAGCGCAACCCCUGUGGCUAGUUACUAACAUUAGGUUGAGGACUCUAGCCAGACUGCCCAGAUCAACUGGGAGGAAGGUGGGGAUGACGUCAGGUCAGUAUGGCCCUUACGCCCAGGGCUGCACACGUACUACAAUGCCCAGUACAAUGAGAGCCGAAACCGCGAGGUGGAGGAAAUCUACAAAACUGGGCUCAGUUCAGAUUGCAGGCUGCAACUCGCCUGCAUGAAGUUGGAAUCGCUAGUAAUGGCACAUCAGCAACGGUGCCGUGAAUACGUUCCCGGGUCUUGUACACACCGCCCGUCACAUCAUGGAAGCCGAUCGCACCCGAAGUAUCCGCGUCAACAAUGGCAGGGUCCUAAGGUGUAGUUGGUAACUGGGAUG
rnacentral:rRNA from 1 species